rnacentral:misc_RNA from 1 species
AUUGCAGAAGAAACAGGAAAUUCUCUUAAGGAAAGAUGGUAUUGGUACAUGAGGAAAUUCCCUACUUUUCCUUGUAAAUAUCUUCCUUGUUUUCCAUAUUAAAACAAAAUGUACAUAAUACACAUCACUAGGUUUUCUGCUUAGCUCCCAAGAAGCACCGAAUAGGUUUAAUAGAAUUAUGAACACAAAAUAGAUUGGCCGCAACACAGAUGAAAAUGAUAGGACUUUGUUAGUGAGGGUACCUGGUUUUGGAAGACGGAAAAUAAUCAACA